ACCUGUGAGAGAGGAAACCAGGCAGUAAGCAGAGCAGCAACCACAAACUCAGAGCCGAAACGACAGCAUCGACAGCCACAUACACAAACCUCUCUUCUCCCAUCAGAGCAUUAAAACAACAUUUUUAAUUUCAUAAGUAAGGAUAUUUACAAUGAAGUAAAUUCAAACAAAACCAAAAACCCUAAAAUUGAAAACAUUUUCUCUUAGUUACCUUUCCUUUUUAACCUUGCUUUGGGGACGCCAUCAGGCCAAAAAGGAGUGGUUUAUACCUGUGUAUAUGCCAAAGCCAGCAGAGUCGCUGCUGCCAUCUUGGUCCUGCGAGGAAGGGGAAUUCUCCGGGAGAGGAAAUAGAGCGCUGUAAUAGCGGUAACUGAAGUGAUUCCCUGUGAGGGGAAAAGAGUCCAUCAAGUGCCAGCAGGAAGCGCCCCACCCUCCUGAUUUCUGCUCACCUUCUAUGUAUCUCCUCCAGAACCAGCCCCAGGCAGGGGGUCCCUGCAGUUCCACCUCUGGUCUCUGCUCCUCAGUCUCCCUCCCCCUCUUCUGCUGGCCACUUAAAUGCAUGUGUGCCCAGGUGCCACCUAAAGUUUCUGCGCCUAUCACUUUAUACUCUUCUCUCGGUGAUCUGACCCACCUUCCACUGUGGGUGCCCCAGCAUGGCCCUCACAUUUUAAAACAUUCUUUGCACUCUUAUCCCUAAUUUUAUACCUACAGUAAUCUUGUAUUUUUAAAGCAGGGCUGACCCCAGCCCAUGAGGGGUAUUAUUAUCUGUGCGGUGAGUAGAGGAGGAGGUGGUGUUGCCAGCUAUUGGUAGGAAGAUCUAAAGUCUCAUUUUCAUUACUGCCUCUUCAGAACGAGGGGCUGGGACUAGCAAUAGGGUCUGUAUUCCCCUUUCAUGAUGGCAAAGAGAAUAUUUUUAUAUCAAACCUGUACAUCUAUUUCACUUCUUUUCCUUUUCAGAGCUGUCCAUGGUGACAAUUUCAGACUUUGCUUAUUCUAGAAUGUGUGGCAGGGGGACUUGUGCAGCCCUUGCAUUCCCUGUGGACAUCUGAGUCCUCUGGACUUAUCCGUGUGAAUGUAUCCUCUCACAUUCAACAUUCCUCCAUCUGUUGACAUAGCCUAUGUCUAGCUUGGCCCUCAUUCCGAUAGCCUCAUUUUUGCUGGUCAUGUUUAAGCAUGCCCCCAAAAGAAACUUUGGAAUCUUCAUCUUUCCUCACCGCAUUUCUACAGCAAUAUUCUAUUCCUUACAACCUCUAUGUUUCAUCAUUCUUCUUAAACCCACUCCCAUCAUGAAGCCUUUUACCCCAUCACUCUCACUCUCACCUGCAUUCCUGCAAUAGCACUGCUGCUUCUCACCAGUCUCUUUGUUGCUCAUCUUCAAUUUAUCAUGCCAGAGUACCAGACCGAUCUUAAUAUGACCCAUAGCAGGCCCUUAGUAAAUAUUAUUAAGUAAAACAAAAAGUACAUAUGAUGCUCUUGGCUCCUUGUGGGGGGUUCUGGUUCAGCUCUGACAGCUAUGUGCUCAGCAUCCACUGUCUGCGCACCCUGUUCUCUACUCAGCCUUUUAUCUGCUAAAAUGACUCUCCUAUGGGUAUGCAAGAUUCAGGGAGGAUAUUAUUUGCUAGAUGGUAAAAGGCAGAUUCAAACUUUAAGAAGCUGGCAUCCUGAAAGCCAGAAAUUGGCUGGGAUGGUGUGUGGGUAAUUAGGAGAAAAACAUCACAUUAGAAAGCUGCUACUCAACUUCCUCUUU